rnacentral:pre_miRNA from 7 species
UCUUCGGAGACAUGGGUGGUCACGCCAAUCCGGCGACAAGCCCCCAAAUGAAAGACUCUGUGAGGAGCCCCUUGCUCAGGCCUAGGGACAAUAGCAGACACCCAAGAACUCAUGAGAGACC